AAUCUCUAGGUCCAUCCGCACUGUUGCAUUGUUUCAUUCUUUUUCUUUCAUGGCUGGGUAGUAUUCCAUUAAAUAAGCACCAAGUCAUCUUUGUCCAUUCAACUCUCACUGGACUUUAGGUUCUUUCCAUGUCUUGGCUGCUGUGUGUGGUUCUGCUGUGAACACAAGGGUGCAUGUAUCUUUUUGAAUUACAGUUUUGUCUGGGUAUAUUCCUAGGAGUGGGAUGCUAGGUCAUAUAGUCAUUCUGCAUUUAGUUUUUUGAGAAAGUUCUUUGCUGUUCUCCAUAGCGACUGUGCAAAUUUACAUUUCCCCCAGCAGGGUUGGAGGAUACCCUUUUCUCCAUAGCCUCUCCAGCAUUUUUAACUAUGUGUUUUUGAAAUCGGCUUUUUGCUUAGCAGCACUAGGGAGUUUUUUCUUCUUUAUUCUUCCUAAUGUGGGAUUGUUGUGUUAUGUCCCAUUGUAAGUUUAUAAAAUGGUUUACUGUACAUAUUCUCUGCCUGGGUUUUCUUAUCUCUGUCUGUCCCCAUUGUAAGUUCUUAUAAAGCUCAUUGGAUAUGUGUGUUUCACCGACAUGUUUGUAAUUUCUCUGCUCAUUUCCUCGGGAUAAAUUUGUUACAGGAAAGUUGUACACAGAGGAUUCCAGUGGCAUUUCGGCUUGUUUGUGAAAUGUAGUCCUCACUGCUGGCUCAUUGACAUGAUGUCUCAUUUCUUACAGAAGUCCCAUCUAAAGCUCUUCCCUAUCUAGCAGCUACCUUAUCUAGUCCAUACAGCCAUACUCCCGUGGACCAUCUGUGAUCCAAGACUCAACAGGAAAGGGGUGGUUUCCCGUGAACUAAGGGUAUGUUUCCUAAUGUGUUUCUUGUCGUUGGUCUGUCCCGACUUAGUCCCCCUCAUGUGGACACCACAGCUGCUAACACCUGCGUCUGUAGGUUGCCAUCGCUUUAAGAAAAAAUGUCAUUAACUCCAGGUGAGAUGGGUUAGGUACCAUGUCUGGGGCACAAGGGAAAGGAUUGAGCAGACAUGCCUGAAGCAGUCACACAGAUCUUAAAAGGAAACUGUUAGGGUCUUUGGAGGAAACGUACUCCCCUCUGGCAUAGGGCCAGGAGACACAGGAGAGCAGGUGAAGAGGCAUGCCACCGUCAGCAACAGAGAUGCCACCAUGGUGUCCGUGACCUAGCAACUGAGAAUGCUGGCGGUGUGUCCAAGCGGAUACGGAAUGCGGUGACUGUGCAAGUCCCAGGAGAGAGCCGUGGCCUUGCAGGCCAGACUCACUCACAGUGUGGCCCAAAGCUGCUGUGUGCUCAGAGUGAGGAGCCCAGGAGCGGAGAGCAGAGUGUAGAUUGGAGGCAAAAGAAAAAGUGGGUGACAGAAGAUG